rnacentral:rRNA from 1 species
CGGCAAAGUCUGGGAGGGCGGCGGCGGUAAUACAGGGGGGGAGAGCGUUAAUCGGAUUUACUGGGCGUAAAGGUGGCGGAGGCGGUGAGAUGUGUAUGAUGUGAAAGCCCCGGGCUUAACCUGGGAAGUGCAUCGUAGACUAUCUGACUGGAGUAUAUGAGAGGGUGGUGGAAUUUCCGGUGUAGCGGUGAAAUGCGUAGAGAUCGGAAGGAACGUCAAUGGCGAAGGCAGCCACCUGGCAUAAUACUGACGCUGAGGCGCGAAAGCGUGGGGAGCGAACAGGAUUAGAUACCCAGUAGUC